GACCAAUGGUGUGGAGUCAAUUGAAGACAUUCCUGAAAUGUCUGAUCUCAAGCAGGAUGUUGAAACAUAUAAACAGGCCUCUUGUGCCACUCAAGGUUUUGUUAUGUGUGAGGCAGCACCUUCUACACACAAUUUUGCCAGUAAGGUGUAUUCCCCACAUGACCCAAAGUCUUUCCUAAAGGCUGUAAGAAAAGAGUAUAAACUGCUUCAAAAUAACCUGCCUAGUGGGAUUUUAGUAAAAGGAUUUGAGGACAGAAUGGUUUGUAGAUCAUACAUAGUAUUAAGGAAUACAAAAUUUUAGUGGAAAUUUGACAGAAAGAGAACAACUACUGAUUUGUUUUCUGUGAUGAUCCUUGGGCCACAAGGAACCCCGUAUGAAGACGGCCUAUUUUUCUUUGAUGUCUUCCUGCCCCCUGACUACCCAACCUCACCCCCUGUGUUCCACUACAUCUCCUACUGCACAGACAGGUUAAACCCCAACCUGUACGAGGACGGUAAAGUGUGUGUCAGUCUUCUGGGCACCUGGGACGGUAAGGGAAGUGAAAUGUGGACUUCCAAUUCCAACAUGUUGCAAGUUCUUGUUUCCAUUCAAGAGUAUGACAAGAAUGAUUGAGAACCCUCCCAAUAGUUUCAAGGAGGAGAUGACUUCACAUCUUAAACAGAAUGCAGCAAGGAUGAUCCAACGAUUCCAGUUUUGGAUGGAGGCAGGCAGUGGGCACAGCAAACAAGACAGUGGAGUGGGGCUAAACUGUGAUUCUUCAGGGACAGCCGGCCUGUCCAGAGACCAAGCAAUGGACAUAUCAUCAGAUGGGGACAAGGUUCAGGGACUUCAGCAAGACAGUCUGCCAAAGAAUAGCAUCUCAAACACAAUUCACUUCAAACCUCCAGAAUUUCCUCUGUUUCCACCCUCCAAGGGAUUUUGCCUCCCCAUGAAAAAAUAUUUGGAAACAUUCAAGCAGACAGUUGAAAGAAACAUUUUUACUCCAGAUGAAAAUGUGAACAACUCAACAGUUAAUUAAGUGAAUGGAAUUAAGAAUUUCUAGUCCAAGUUUUAAAGUAUUGUCUAUUUGCUAUUUGAUCCUUGCUUGUGAUAUAUAUAAAAUGUUUGUAAAUGUACUGUGCUGUGCAGGUUCAUAAACAAUUUAGGUGAUAGCAUUUAAAAUUUUGACUUUAAUUGGACAUUUUAUCAUUAUUUCCCCCCAGUUUUGUUAAAAUACCUCAUUAUGGUUAGAAGUUUAAUUUAAAUCAAGUGCUAGCUAUUACAUGUUUUGUGGGUGAUGUUAACAUGUGCUAUUGGUGUUAUCUUUUUUCAGGUAUGUCAGCUUUUAUUGUUUACCCAUUUACAAUGAACUGGAAAAAAAUGUAUUAAAAAUGCAUGUAUAUGUGAUAGUUCAACUAUUACACCCCUACACAUUCUCUUCUGUUUGAUGCCAAAUGCUACAUGAUGCUUGCAGAAAAUUAUGUAUUGUAAGAGUCAUGAGUUGUAUAUAUUUCAAUUGAUUUUUUUUCUUCACAUUAUGCAAAUCUUUUACCUCAGCUGUUAUAUACACUGUUCCCUGGUAUAUGAACGUUUAUAUUUAUUUACAUAUCUGACAGAAAAAGGUGAUAUUUAAUAUCUUUUUAUUAUAUAACAGAUUUAAAUUUACUUAUGUAAAUGUAAUACUUUAAAGUACAUACACACAACAUCCUUGUAAUUUGGAAAAGUCACUGUUAUUGCAUAGAAUUUAUAAGUAAAAGUUUACAUGGAAAAUCAGAAUACAUUUACACAUUAAAGUCUGAGUUUAUGUUUCUAAUCAAUAAAUCAUUAUCUACAAAUAUACAAGUAAUUUCAGGAUGCACCAAACCUGUUUUUGUAUUUCAUUUACUGCUUUUUUCUUAAAUUUAGGUUUCGUAUUUUUUCUCCCUAUGGCUUUAAAGUUAUUUAGCAUUU
rnacentral:misc_RNA from 1 species